rnacentral:rRNA from 1 species
UACGAAGGGGGCUAGCGUUGCUCGGAAUUACUGGGCGUAAAGGGCGCGUAGGCGGAUAGUUUAGUCAGAGGUGAAAGCCCAGGGCUCAACCUUGGAAUUGCCUUUGAUACUGGCUAUCUUGAGUUCGGGAGAGGUGAGUGGAAUGCCGAGUGUAGAGGUGAAAUUCGUAGAUAUCGAGAGGAACACCGGUGGCGAAGGCGGCUUCCUGGACAGUGACUGACGCUGAGAUGCGAAAGCGUGGGGAGCAAACAGG